UACGAAGGGUGCAAGCGUUGUUCGGAAUCAUUGGGCGUAAAGGGCGCGUAGGCGGCUUUUCAAGUGACGGGUGAAAGCCCUCGGCUUAACCGAGGAACUGCCUGUCAGACUGGAAGGCUUGAGACCGGGAGAGGUGAGUGGAAUUCCCAGUGUAGCGGUGAAAUGCGUAGAUAUUGGGAGGAACACCAGUGGCGAAGGCGGCUCACUGGACCGGAACUGACGCUGAGGCGCGAAAGCGUGGGGAGCAAACAGG
rnacentral:rRNA from 1 species